GGCAAGUAAUGGGCGCAGCCUGAUCCAGCAAUGCCGCGUGGGUGAAGAAAGGCCUGCGGGUUGUAAAGCCCUUUCGGUGGGGAGGAACGCUCUGGCGCUAAUAUCGCGGGAGCUUGCCGUCCCCACAGAAGAAGCACCGGCCAACUCCGUGCCAGCAGCCGCGGUAAUACGGAGGGUCGAGCGUUAAUCGGAUUACUGGGCGUAAAGGGCGCGUAGGUGGUGCGUUGA
rnacentral:rRNA from 1 species